rnacentral:tRNA from 1 species
GCCUCCGUGGCGGAAUUGGCAGACGCGCACGGUUUAGGACCGUGUCCUUACGGGUAGAGGUUCAAGUCCUCUCGGAGGCA